UUGAAACCAAGAAAUUUAAACCUUAAUAAUAAGCAACAACUUUAGGCUAAGGAUAAUUGUACCCUUGGCUUUGGGUGUUUUCCAAAAAAAAUUUGGAGAUGGCCGACUCGUCAACUUCUUCAAUGUCUUUCUCAUCUCAAACAAAUCAAAACCCUAAUCCCUCACCCACCAGUCCAUCACCGCCCUCAUGUCUCCCACCACUAUCGUUCGCCGCCAACCCACACCAGCGGAGAAACCGUGACAACUAGAUGAACGGUUGCAUUGGAGCAGACGCAACGACAACUUUUAGGGUUCAUGUGCUCAUCUCCUCGCCGGGAUUCGGUGCAUUUUUGGUCCAGCUUUUCUAAUUAGGCAUAUUUAUGUUACGAGAGGGUAGUUGUAGUUUUGAUGUUGAUGGCUUCCAUCCUCUCAACAUUGGCAAACUUGCUAUGAAAGGCAAAGACACACUCUUUCUUCCCUACACCCCAGAGCAAAGCUGCCAAGUAGCGUGCGUGUGCAAAAGAAAGAUUAGAUAUUUACAUAACAUUAAAAGAUCUUUAUAUGUUGAAUCUUAAAUGUUCAUAUCGCGGGGAUUUGUUAUUGUGAAAGAACUUGAGCAACUUGAGCGCCAACUUGAAUUUACUUUGAGUCAAAUUUGGUGCAUAAGGGUAUGUUUAGUGUGUUUCUACUAGCUAUAUAAUCUGAGGAGGUGUUUGAAUGAUUCAUCUCGGAUAUGGAUGGCGGGGAUUUGAUUGGAGUAUCGGCGAUAGUUCAGUCAAACUCCGAAGUAGAACAGAAUGAACAGACAAUAAUGAAUAGACAAUGGUUGGAUGAAAAUGGGUUUGAAUCGCGAGUAAAAGGAAGGGGCUUUUUGAUUCGCGGGUGGGCAACACAAGUUCUGAUCCUAUCGCACCGAGCCGCAGGUAUUAAAGUGUACAAGAUGCAGCUUUUAGAGGGCUUGAAGGAUGUUAGAGGCUGGCGUGAUCAAGAUGUGUGAAAACAAAGGAAAAUGAAGGAACUAGGAGCAAAAGAUCACUCAGAGCCGUAAGCUACGCCACCAGGCCGUAGCUUACGGCACCUAUAGCAUGCCAAAAAUUAGUGCCGUAAGACAGGAGCACAGGACCGUAAAGAACAUUGAUCGCCGUAAGCUACGGCGGUGAGCCGUAGCAUACGGCACUGCUUGAACCCCGGAAAUUCACUGAUCACCGUAAGCUACGGCAGGGGGCCGUAGCUUACGGCGCCGAUUGAACCAAAGUCGUAACCGAUGCAUUUAUGAGCAUUUUGAAGACAUAUUAUGAUUACUAAUCAUGUGUGGUCGGUUACUACUUGAGAAAAACGAGUGGGGGACUAUUUGAAGGCACUUGGGGAGCUAGGAAACAUAUCUUUGCAUAAUCUUUUCACUAGAAUCAUUGGGGAACAAUCUUUGCAUUAUAUUCUUGUCUUUGUUGGUGGAACUUGUGAACUUUGGUUUUAUUUCUAUUUUGUCAUGAUGUGUGUUAAAGCCAUGAGUGGCUAGGUACUUUAAUGACUAUCUUGUGGUGAAG
rnacentral:lncRNA from 1 species